AGAAGCUGGAGAGCCUUUUCCGCAGUGGCUACCGAUAGAAUACACAAAAGCAACUUCACAUACGAAAAUGCAUGCCUCAACACCUCGUAGUUUUCGUAAACUCGAAUUUUGAACAUCGCGGUUCACGCCGACGCUGGCACACCUAGCGUCAAACCAAGAAAACGUACCCAUAUAUAGAAAACUCAUCUGGUCAUCCCACUGGGAUGACGUCAAUCGCCCAUGCAAUCAGCGCGCAGAAUGCCGUCACGUGAUCGAGCACUACAACAACAACUUUCAGCAAGAACCAACAUUUUUACGCCGAUAUACUGUUGUCACAAUGUCUGGAAAUAAAAAGUAUGUAUAUACUUCGAAAUCUACGACCUGUUUUAUAACUGCGAUAAUCCAAUUAGCGACUUCCGUGGAAAGAGGAGCUGCGAGGCUACGAGCUACGACGACUUUCGGGAUCCAGCGCGCUAUUUCACUGCGUUAGCGUAGUGUGUGUAUUUCCAAGUUUUCUUUAUUUAUAUCUUUUGGAACAACGACCAAUUUAUCGAGGUACAGCCCUUACUUCAUUUGAAGUGCCUCGGUUGUGUCGUCAAAGCGAGAUUUCUCGGCGGGCAUUCAGUUCCGUACGAUACUGCGCGUUCAACCGCAGCGGCAGGAUAAUACCGCGGCGGAUUUUGCCAAUCAUAUUUGAAGAAUGCAGACUAUGAGACGGACCCCUCAGUUUGAGUACAAAGAACCUCCGCCUACAGAAGUCCGCAGUGCUUUCCUUGAAUCUAUCUUCCAAGACUGUUGCAUCUGGACGUGACGAGGGUGAUGACUUCAGGGAAGUGGAAGGAACAGGAGAGGAAGACAUCUGGCAAUGGUCAUGACAGUUGUCCGUCAGGAAUCUACAGGUGGUGAGCAUGCGUAAGGAAUUGACAUAUCUCAGUACAACUUAGACCUGCCUGUUGCACAUGAGAUGUGUGACUCUACUUACACACACAAGCUUCUGCAGUCUCAGGAACAUCAACUCCCAUGUUCAAAAGAAGUGGAAUAUGCCUCUGCAAUCUGGAACCCAUCCCAACAUCUCUUAAUCGACAAAGUAGAAUUUGUACAGAACCGCACGGUUUGUUGUUCGUGAUUAUCAUCCUUUUUCCAGCGUCUCAGCCAUUAAAGCCAAACUCUUUCUUACUCCUUUGAUUACCA